AGUAAUGCCUAGGAAUCUGCCUGGUAGUGGGGGACGAACGUUUCGAAAGGAACGCUAAUACCGCAUACGUCCUACGGGAGAAAGCAGGGGACCUUCGGGCCUUGCGCUAUCAGAUGAGCCUAGGUCGGAUUAGCUAGUUGGUGAGGUAAUGGCUCACCAAGGCGACGAUCCGUAACUGGUCUGAGAGGAUGAUCAGUCACACUGGAACUGAGACACGGUCCAGACUCCUACGGGAGGCAGCAGGU
rnacentral:rRNA from 1 species